rnacentral:lncRNA from 1 species
GACUGGACAUAUCAGCUACAAUUUUGGAAGCAAGAGGCAGAACAUUACACAGGUUCCAUACAGAUCUGGCCCAGAAGCAGAACUUCAGCUCCAGAAAAGAGAUAAGAUUUUGAAAGGGAAAUUAUUGCAAAUCAAGUCAAUAACUCCUCCCAGACAGACAAUAUUUUCAUAGAGCUGCAAUUCCACAAUAUUUGGUUCGAGAAACAAAACAGCAUCACUACUACAGGGACAGAUUCAUAUUUCCAAGCCAAAAUGUGCUCCAUAUGUGAUGGCAUGUGCAGCUGGUGCAGAGCUCCAGAGCUACAGCUUGCUGACCCUAGCUAGUUAGCUGCCCCAUAGCCAAAUAACCCACCCACCAGAAAGGCAUCUGGUCAGAAGUGGUCUCCCAGGGAAGUCUUCACUUGCUGUUGAGUGGACUUCAUCUUUGCUGUCCAGACAGAAUGAUGUGGACAGGCAUCUUCCACAGAAAGAAUUGCCAAGCAGAUGUCCUUCCUCAAACCACCUUUUACAAACAGCCUUGCAGAGUAAGUUCUUCCAGCUGAAGGCCUGGCAUCUACCAGGGUAGCAAAGGGAAGAAAACAAUGAGUCGUCAUGUGGGAAGGCUGGAGACAAAUGAAUUUAAAGAUGUUUUAAUAUCAUGCUCUUAAAUUCUGAACCAAGUGUCUGUCGUGGGCCAGCACUGGAGACUGGAUGUUGGCCCCAAGCCAGUUGGAGAACUGACCCAAUUUAAAGUAGCCAAACUUACACUAUGCUCUUUGUUUUAGAUAAGGAUAUAUUAUUAUACAGUACUUAAUCUAUACUUAAUUUAUUUUAGCCUGCGGGAAAAUGUGCGUAAUGGCCACCCAUAUUUAAAUAAAGAUAGAACUUUUCCAGCUUUCA